GAUAAAGCGGGUGAAAAGCCCGCUCGCCGGAAGACCAAGGGUUCCUGUCCAACGUUAAUCGGGGCAGGGUGAGUCGACCCCUAAGGCGAGGCCGAAAGGCGUAGUCGAUGGGAAACAGGUUAAUAUUCCUGUACUUGGUGUUACUGCGAAGGGGGGACGGAGAAGGCUAUGUUGGCCGGGCGACGGUUGUCCCGGUUUAAGCGUGUAGGCUGGUUUUCCAGGCAAAUCCGGAAAAUCAAGGCUGAGGCGUGAUGACGAGGCACUACGGUGCUGAAGCAACAAAUGCCCUGCUUCCAGGAAAAGCCUCUAAGCAUCAGGUAACAUCAAAUCGUACCCCAAACCGACACUGGUGGUCAGGUAGAGAAUACCAAGGCGCUUGAGAGAACUCGGGUGAAGGAACUAGGCAAAAUGGUGCCGUAACUUCGGGAGAAGGCACGCUGAUAUGUAGGUGAAGCGACUUGCUCGUGGAGCUGAAAUCAGUCGAAGAUACCAGCUGGCUGCAACUGUUUAUUAAAAACACAGCACUGUGCAAACACGAAAGUGGACGUAUACGGUGUGACGCCUCCCCGGUGCCGGAAGGUUAAUUGAUGGGGUUAGCGCAAGCGAAGCUCUUGAUCGAAGCCCCGGUAAACGGCGGCCGUAACGAUAACGGUCCUAAGGUAGCGAAAUUCCUUGUCGGGUAAGUUCCGACCUGCACGAAUGGCGUAAUGAUGGCCAGGCUGUCUCCACCCGAGACUCAGUGAAAUUGAACUCGCUGUGAAGAUGCAGUGUACCCGCGGCAAGACGGAAAGACCCCGUGAACCUUUACUAUAGCUUGACACUGAACAUUGAGCCUUGAUGUGUAGGAUAGGUGGGAGGCUUAGAAGUGUGGACGCCAGUCUGCAUGGAGCCGACCUUGAAAUACCACCCUUUAAUGUUUGAUGUUCUAACGUUGACCCGUAAUCCGGGUUGCGGACAGUGUCUGGUGGGUAGUUUGACUGGGGCGGUCUCCUCCUAAAGAGUAACGGAGGAGCACGAAGGUUGGCUAAUCCUGGUCGGACAUCAGGAGGUUAGUGCAAUGGCAUAAGCCAGCUUGACUGCGAGCGUGACGGCGCGAGCAGGUGCGAAAGCAGGUCAUAGUGAUCCGGUGGUUCUGAAUGGAAGGGCCAUCGCUCAACGGAUAAAAGGUACUCCGGGGAUAACAGGCUGAUACCGCCCAAGAGUUCAUAUCGACGGCGGUGUUUGGCACCUCGAUGUCGGCUCAUCACAUCCUGGGGCUGAAGUAGGUCCCAAGGGUAUGGCUGUUCGCCAUUUAAAGUGGUACGCGAGCUGGGUUUAGAACGUCGUGAGACAGUUCGGUCCCUAUCUGCCGUGGGCGCUGGAGAACUGAGGGGGGCUGCUCCUAGUACGAGAGGACCGGAGUGGACGCAUCACUGGUGUUCGGGUUGUCAUGCCAAUGGCACUGCCCGGUAGCUAAAUGCGGAAGAGAUAAGUGCUGAAAGCAUCUAAGCACGAAACUUGCCCCGAGAUGAGUUCUCCCUGACCCUUUAAGGGUCCUGAAGGAACGUUGAAGACGACGACGUUGAUAGGCCGGGUGUGUAAGCGCAGCGAUGCGUUGAGCUAACCGGUACUAAUGAACCGUGAGGCUUAACC
rnacentral:rRNA from 1 species